CCUACGGGAGGCAGCAGUAGGGAAUAUUGGUCAAUGGGUGAGAGCCUGAACCAGCCAUGCCGCGUGCAGGAAGACGGCCUUCUGGGUUGUAAACUGCUUUUAUCUGGGGAUAAAAAGCUCAUGCGUGAGUAAUUGAAGGUACCAGAUGAAUAAGCACCGGCUAACUACGUGCCAGCAGCCGCGGUAAUACGUAGGGUGCAAGCGUUGUCCGGAUUUAUUGGGUUUAAAGGGUGCGUAGGCGGCCUGUUAAGUCAGUGGUGAAAUCCAACAGCUCAACUGUUGAUGUGCCAAUGAUACUGACGGGCUUGAGUACAGACGAGGUAGGCGGAAUUGACAGUGUAGCGGUGAAAUGCAUAGAUAUUGUCAAGAACACCGAUAGCGAAGGCAGCUUGCUAGCCUGUAACUGACGCUGAGGCACGAAAGUGUGGGGAUCAAACAGGAUUAGAUACCCUGGUAGUCCACACUGUAGACGAUGAUUACUCGAUGUUGGCGAUACACAGUCAGCGUCUUAGCAAAAGCGAUAAGUAAUCCACCUGGGGAGUACGCUGGCAACAGUGAAACUCAAAGGAAUUGACGG
rnacentral:rRNA from 1 species